rnacentral:rRNA from 1 species
AACGAACGCUGGCGGCAUGCCUAACACAUGCAAGUCGAACGAAGCCUUCGGGCUUAGGGGCGCACGGGUGCGUAACGCGUGGGGAUCUGCCCUUUGCUUCGGAAUAACAGUUAGAAAUGACUGCUAAUACCGGAUGAUGUCGUAAGACCAAAGAUUUAUCGGCAAAGGAUGAAACCGCGUAGGAUUAGGUAGUUGGUGGGGUAGAGGCCUACCAAGGCGACAAGCCUUAGCUGGUCUGAGAGGACGAUCAGGCACACUGGGACUGAGACAGUGCCGAGGAGCCUACGUGAGGCAGAUGUGGGGAAUAUUGGAAAAUGGGCGAAAGCCUGAUCCGGCAAUGCCGCGUGUAUGAGGAAGGCUUUAGCGUUGUAAAGCUCUUUACCAGAGAUGGUAAGGACAGUACCUGAAGAAUAAGCUCCGGCUAACUCCUUGCCAGCCGCCGCCGUAA